CUCCCUGUGGCUCAGUUGGUAGAGCAUGGUGUUUGCAACGCCAGCAUGGUGUGUGCAACGCCAGGGUUGUGGGUUCGAUUCCCACGCGGGGCCA
rnacentral:tRNA from 1 species